rnacentral:rRNA from 1 species
AGUGAACGCUGGCGGCGUGCCUAACACAUGCAAGUCGAACGAUGAUGGAGGAGCUUGCUCUUCCUGAUUAGUGGCGCACGGGUGAGUAAUGCAUAGAUAAUGUGCCCCUUAGUUCGGGAUAGCCACUGGAAACGGUGAUUAAUACCGGAUACUCCUUCUUGUCAUAAGAUAAGUCGGGAAAGUUUUUCGCUAAGGGAUCAGUCUAUGUUCCAUCAGUUAGUUGGUGAGGUAACGGCUCACCAAGACAAUGACGGAUAUCUGGUUUGAGAGGAUGAUCAGACACACUGGAACUGAGACACGGUCCAGACUCCUACGGGAGGCAGCAGUGAGGAAUAUUGCACAAUGGAGGAAACUCUGAUGCAGCAACGCCGCGUGGAGGAUGACGCAUUUCGGUGUGUAAACUCCUUUUAUUAGGGAAGAUUAUGACGGUACCUAAUGAAUAAGCACCGGCUAACUCCGUGCCAGCAGCCGCGGUAAGAC